UGCUGCACAUCCCGCACCCAGGCUGAUUUGGGGAGAGCAGAACCUGAAUGUGCCCUGAGGGGAGAUCCCGUUGGGGCCGCUCACACCUGCCCCUGUGAUGGACGAGCGGUCCCCGAGGCAGAGGGAGGAUCCCUCGGGGGCUCUGCCACAGGAGACGUCCUGCCCUGGAGGGUCUUAGCAGGGAGGUCUUUCCCGUUUCAUCGGAGAAACGGCCGUGCCGAGCCCAGCCGAACUGAACUGAGCCUAAUCGAACCAAUCCCAGCGAAGACCACUUAAGCUUAGUCGAACCCAUUCGAAAAGACCCCAGCCCAGCCAAUCCGAGCUAAUCCUAACCCAUCCGAACGGAGCGGAGCCCAGCCCAGACGAAGGGAACCCACUCGAACAGAUCUCAACUCAGCUGAUCCGAACCCAUUCAAACAGAUCCCAACCCAUCCGACCUGAACCCACUCGAGCAGAGCCCAGCCCAGCCGAACCCACUCCAGCUUAGUCGAGCCCAUCCGAACAGAGAACCCAGCCGAGCCGCUCCGAAGCCAGCCGAAAGCAGCCGAGCGGAGCCGACCCCGCGCCCGCUCACUCACCGGUGGGCAGCCACGGCGCGACUCCGCAGGGGCUGGCACCUUCACCCCGCACAGGGGAUGUGGAUUCUGACUCAGCAGCCCACACUGGAUCCUCCAGAACCUUGUCCCUGCUGCCCAGAUCAAGAGGCUGGGAGAGAAGCCUGAGACACCAUGGGUCCUCAGAUUCUGAGGUAAGGACCCUAGCACCACGCACCAAGGUGCCAAGAUAGAACCCUAGCUCAGGAGCCAGGACUGGGACUCUAGCCCAGCCCUUCAGACCAGGAUGGGACUGCACUGGGAGACUGGUAGCCCCUACUCAGGACAAGCACCAGGUGUCCAUCACCCAUCCCAGCAGAAAUCCAGCAUGCCUCACAUUGAGCUUACACAGCCAGAAACACACUGUUCCCAUCUCCCCACUGCUGUCCAAAGCCCAGACCUGGCUUGCCUUGACCCGUGGUGUCUGCAGAACGGGAGGGAAGACACCAAGGCACAGCCCUCCAGCCCUGGUCUGGCCUGGCACUGAUGCAUUGCUGCAAGCACAAUUCUUGGACCAGGGAAAGCGAAAUCACAGGCAGCUGUGUUUUUUCCCACCUUGCUAAUUAAACAGACCAGAAAUAGGUCAGUCUAUUUCCAUGCAGAGGCCAUAAUGACUGUUUGACAGAGCAAAGAUGUUAACUGUACUGGGUGAGGAUUGCUUUUUACUUUGUCCACACUCAUUCUGCAUGUCCAUUUCAUCUAGUCUGGUUCAGCUUCAAUGCUCCAGACCCAAGCCUUCAUUUAGAGAAAAAACAUUUUACAGAAAAACAAACACACCUUCCAGUCUUUACAGAACAGAUCUACUGCAGCCCACUGGCCUCCUGCUUAUCACUGUGUUUUCUUCCAUUUCCUACUCACUUUUGCAUCUCCAUUUGCCAGUCUUUCCCAUUUUAAAACGUGUUUACAUUAUGCCAUUAUCCACAACCAGCAGAGAAGAAAGUCUCAGCAUAACAGCAGCCUACUCUUGAGCAAGAACCACUGCAAAAGAAGAGACUACCAAGUUACAGCUGUGCAUCAGCAAGACAAAGACAGCCAUACCUAACAGAUUUUUACAGUGCUUGUACAGUAAAUGUUACACUGCUGGGAACUGGCAGGUAAUACCCCAAUCUGCUUAUCUAAUGACCACGGUGUGUCUUCAAAAGAAUGCUUUUGUGGGAGGUUUAUUGCUCUUGUGAUGGUGCAAUCCUCAGAGAUCAGCACUGCUGAACUCUUGUGAUACCAGGAGCAACAAGUAACAGGAGGAAAGUACCAUCAUGAUUUAUGGUAUUAAACACAGGUAAGAAUAAAUAGGAACUAUGGAAGAUACACAGGCAAUUAACAGCAAAGUGGAGUAGGAGGUCUCCUUUGCAUUGCCCAUGAGCAGAACAGAGAAGCAUUGAGUGAGAGGUAUGUUUGUGGGAAAAUGAAGAGAAGAACUAGUGAAACAGAGGAAAAGGAAGGAAAGUACAGGCUGGAACUGGUAGGUAAAGCCAGGGAAGGACAAGACCACCAGCACUUGGGAAAAACCAGAUGGAAGACUCUGGCUGCAUGCCUUGGAGAGCUUCAAAACACAUGAAGGGUUGCAAACAAAGCACUAGCUCAGGUGCAGGCAAUAUUAACAGCUUCCCAACAGCUUCCUGACUAAUACCAAGUUGAGAAGAGGCUGAUGAAGAGCCCCAAAAGGGCUGGUCAAGUGUUGACCACUCAGGAGGCACAAAUGCUUUCCUAACCCUAGACAGGCGCUGGGCAUGCCAAGGCUGCUGGGGAUAGCUGGAAGCCUUGCAUUUGCUCCGACAAAGCCAGCAUGAAGUUGUCUUUCCAAGACCUUCCUCUGGCAAUGGGAGCCAUGAUCUGCUUCAGAUCUUCCUUAGUAAAGUAAUCCCAAACUACUAUUUAUACCAAGAAGACCUUUUCUGCUCUGCUUCCACCCCUUCCACAUGGGGAAAUCCACCCCUCAACCACUACUGCAAUUCCUUUCUACUUCCCCAGGUUUGCAAUUCUUCAGUAGUAUUUCUAACUACCAACGCCCUGCUCCCUUUCUGCCAAGUCUGGGGAACUCUGCACACGUGGAUCUUUUACUCCACUUUCGAAAGCUUCUCCCCUCUCCCCACAAACCCAAUCAUCAGAUCCUGAAAUACAGGACACCAACAGAUGUUCAAGCAAAAGUAAAAAGUAAGGGCUCUUGGUUCCAAGAGAGGGGGAUGUGGCAAGCCUGUGAGCAGGAACAGGAUUACUCUCAACGUGAUCCAAAUCAGCAGAAAAAAAAAUCUCCUGAUUCAAGGGAAAGCCACCGUGGCCUAUGAAUUACAGGAAAAGGCAGAGCUAGCAUGGUUAAAAGGCAAUAAAAAAGUGAAGAGUUGGGGCUGAGGAUCUGUCACUUGGCUUCUUCCCAUAAAGAAAAGUUAGUCAUCAGAACUGAAGAUUUCAUGCGACUUUAGCACACAUGGAAACAAUGAGGUGCAGCAGCACACUCCUGUGUUGGAUCUCCUCAGCCUCAAGUUCAUUAGAUGUGUUUCAACCUUCCUGCACCUCCAGAGCCAUUUUGGUCCUUGACCUUGCUACAUGCAGGGGAUGAGUAGAGAGUCCUUGGGGAAGGGGCAGGAGAAGGAAGAGGUAGAAGGAAGGGGGUUUCUUGGGGCCAUAUUUAACCUAGAGAGAAGGCCCCUUCAGAGUUCACA